GCUGACGAGUGGCGGACGGGUGAGUAAUGUCUGGGAAACUGCCUGAUGGAGGGGGAUAACUACUGGAAACGGUGGCUAAUACCGCAUAACGUCGCAAGACCAAAGAGGGGGACCUUCGGGCCUCUUGCCAUCAGAUGUGCCCAGAUGGGAUUAGCUUGUUGGUGAGGUAACGGCUCACCAAGGCGACGAUCCCUAGCUGGUCUGAGAGGAUGACCAGCCACACUGGAACUGAGACACGGUCCAGACUCCUACGGGAGGCAGCAGUGGGGAAUAUUGCACAAUGGGCGCAAGCCUGAUGCAGCCAUGCCGCGUGUAUGAAGAAGGCCUUCGGGUUGUAAAGUACUUUCAGCGGGGAGGAAGGUGUUGUGGUUAAUAACCGCAGCAAUUGACGUUACCCGCAGAAGAAGCACCGGCUAACUCCGUGCCAGCAGCCGCGGUAAUACGGAGGGUGCAAGCGUUAAUCGGAAUUACUGGGCGUAAAGCGCACGCAGGCGGUCUGUCAAGUCGGAUGUGAAAUCCCCGGGCUCAACCUGGGAACUGCAUUCGAAACUGGCAGGCUUGAGUCUUGUAGAGGGGGGUAGAAUUCCAGGUGUAGCGGUGAAAUGCGUAGAGAUCUGGAGGAAUACCGGUGGCGAAGGCGGCCCCCUGGACAAAGACUGACGCUCAGGUGCGAAAGCGUGGGGAGCAAACAGGAUUAGAUACCCUGGUAGUCCACGCCGUAAACGAUGUCUACUUGGAGGUUGUGCCCUUGAGGCGUGGCUUCCGGAGCUAACGCGUUAAGUAGACCGCCUGGGGAGUACGGCCGCAAGGUUAAAACUCAAAUGAAUUGACGGGGGCCCGCACAAGCGGUGGAGCAUGUGGUUUAAUUCGAUGCAACGCGAAGAACCUUACCUGGUCUUGACAUCCACGGAAGUUUUCAGAGAUGAGAAUGUGCCUUCGGGAACCGUGAGACAGGUGCUGCAUGGCUGUCGUCAGCUCGUGUUGUGAAAUGUUGGGUUAAGUCCCGCAACGAGCGCAACCCUUAUCCUUUGUUGCCAGCGGUUAGGCCGGGAACUCAAAGGAGACUGCCAGUGAUAAACUGGAGGAAGGUGGGGAUGACGUCAAGUCAUCAUGGCCCUUACGACCAGGGCUACACACGUGCUACAAUGGCGCAUACAAAGAGAAGCGACCUCGCGAGAGCAAGCGGACCUCAUAAAGUGCGUCGUAGUCCGGAUUGGAGUCUGCAACUCGACUCCAUGAAGUCGGAAUCGCUAGUAAUCGUGGAUCAGAAUGCCACGGUGAAUACGUUCCCGGGCCUUGUACACACCGCCCGUCACACCAUGGGAGUGGGUUGCAAAAGAAGUAGGUAGCUUAACCUUCGGGAGGGCGCUUACCACUUUGUGAUUCAUGACUGGGGUGAAGUCGUAACAAGGUAACCGUAGGGGAACCUGCGGUUGGAUCACCUCCUUACCUUAAAGAA
rnacentral:rRNA from 1 species